GGACUCCUUUACUUACGAGAAUCAUACAAAAUACAUCUAUCAUAAAAUUAUCAUCAUAAAAUUAAUUAAACUAUAAAAAUCAUCCAAACAUCAAAUAUUUAUAAACCUCAGGUUGGAUUGCUAAUUAGAAACCUGCUAGAUUUCAGUAGAUCAUGUGAUCAUGCACUUCAAAUGUGUCACAUACCAUGUGUGACAGUGACUGGUUAUGGUUUUUCAAUACCCUAGAACUAAUGUACUUCUUUGGUGGCAAAAGGGUUCAAGGAAUACAUUUAAUA